rnacentral:rRNA from 1 species
UACAGAGGGUGCGAGCGUUGUCCGGAAUCACUGGGCGUAAAGGGCGCGUAGGUGGCGCUCCAAGUCUGUGGUGAAAGCUCGAUGCUCAACAUCGAGUCGGCCAUAGAGACUGGAGGGCUCGAGCACUGUAGGGCAGGAUGAAUUCCGGGUGUAGCGGUGAAAUGCGUAGAGAUCCGGAAGAACACCAGUGGCGAAGGCGGCAUCCUGGACCGGUAUUGACGCUGAGGAGCGAAAGCCAGGGGAGCAAAGCGGG